rnacentral:tRNA from 1 species
CCAUUGGCAGUUCAGUGGUAGAAUUCUCACCUUCUAUGUGGGAGGCCUGGGUGCAAUUCCUGGCCAUUGCA